GAUUAACGCUGGCGGCGUGCAUAACACAUGCAAGUCGAACGAAGUGGCGGACGGGUGAGUAACGCGUGAGUAACCUGCCUUAGAGAAGGGGAUAGCCUUUGGAAACGAAGAAUAAUACCCUAUGCUCUAAGAUGGACUUGCGUCUGAUUAGUUAGUUGGUGGGGUAACGGCCCACCAAGACAGCGAUCGGUAGCCGGCUUGAUAGAGUGUACGGCCACAUUGGGACUGAGACACGGCCCAGACUCUACGGGAGGCAGCAGUGGGGAAUUUUGCACAAUGGGGGAAACCCUGAUGCAGCGACGCCGCGUGACGAAGAAGGCUUUCGAGUCGUAAAGUUCUUUUAUAUGGUAAGCGGUACCAUAAGAAAAAGCCCCGGCUAACUACGUGCCAGCAGCCGCGGUAAUUC
rnacentral:rRNA from 1 species